rnacentral:sRNA from 1 species
AGUGCAUCUGCUUAGGAACAAAGCCACUCUCUGUCUGGUGUGGUCAGAGGGUCCCGGAUGUCCCCCCCUCCACUCUGCUGGGCAGGGGCUGUGCCUGCGGAGCUUCCUUCCAGGAUCUGUCCUUCUCAGCUUCCCCAGCCGAGCCGCCAGGGGUCCUGAGGACCACCAUGGCCCCUGAACACUCCUGGAGCUUUGGUGUCAGCCCUGCCACCCAAGAGAGAGAGAGAGACAUGAGACCCUUCCAGGCCUGCAAGCAGAUUUGACAGCCAUCCCUCAGUGCCAGCUAAACCUGCUGGGCAGCCUGACCCCAGGGUAGGAAGGAAGCGCCUACACCAAGGGGCCCUCUGGGAGCUGAGAUCAUCCUGGGGUUUUGUCGCUUGGUCUGACUUGUGCACUGGGAUCUUCUCGUGCCAGGCCAGGCCCCGCUCCCCCCGGGACUGGGCAGACCCCCUCCCUCAUGCAUCUGUGUCCACUGAGGCUUCCCUCACCUAGAAUGGCCCAUCCUUCAGGACCCAGCUCACUCGCAUCUUCUUUCCAGGGACUUACCCCCCAAGGCUGUCCUCUGUUCUGGUGAGCUCAGGGCUCUUGGAACUUGGUCUGCAGUGACUCUGGGGUUCCUGGUUAGGACCCAUGUUCUCUAGGUCCCAGCACCCUGCACGGGGCAGUGUUUGUGACACUGGGCCCAGCUAUUCUGAGAGAAGGACUCCAACCUUCCAUCAGGCGUGGCCCGAGAUGUGGGUGGCCCUGGGCAUGGGGCAUGGAUGCAUUGUGACUUUCAUGGGCCUCUUCUGCAAAAAAAAAUU